rnacentral:rRNA from 1 species
UACGUAGGGCGCAAGCGUUAUCCGGAAUUAUUGGGCGUAAAGAGCUCGUAGGCGGUUUGUCGCGUCUGCCGUGAAAGUCCGGGGCUCAACUCCGGAUCUGCGGUGGGUACGGGCAGACUAGAGUGCAGUAGGGGAGACUGGAAUUCCUGGUGUAGCGGUGAAAUGACGCAGAGUAUCAGGAGGAACACCGAUGGCGAAGGCAGGUCUCUGGGCUGUAACUGACGCUGGAGGAGCGAAAGCAUGGGGAGCGAACAGG